UUCUGAAGACAGUCACCAAUACGCGGCAAAUACCUAUUGAGUUACUGGCACCCACUAUGUACCAGCCACUGUGCUGGGCACGGAUGGACACACAUCAGCCCCUGCCCGCAUGGUGGAACAGGGAUAUGGGAGAGAAAGACAACAAACAACUCGGUGUACAAAUAGUCAACUACAGUGGGAAAGCAAAGAUUAAAUCCUCAUACCUCUCUGGAAAAGUGGAGGGGACCACAUUCCAGCAUCUGGUGCCUUGUUUGCCCCAAACAUGACUUCAAGUGAAUCGACAUAAUACUCUUCCAGAGGGAAAGCAGAACCAUCUGCAGGGCUGAGGGACCAAGAAACACAGUGAGGAAUUCCACAGGAGGCCCACGCGGAGGGAUGUGACACCCCAGGUGGACUCUAGGGGACGCUCACUUGGAACUUGCAUCACCCGGAACUGUGUCUGCCACUGUGA
rnacentral:lncRNA from 10 species